rnacentral:tRNA from 1 species
GGGGAUAUAGCCUGUUGGUAAAGUGCUUGCCUUAUAUGCACAAUGCCCUGGGUUCAAUCCCCAGUACCACCA